rnacentral:tRNA from 1 species
GCAGUGGUAGUUCAGUGGUAGAAUUCUCACCUUCUGUGUGGGAGACUUCAGUUCGAUUUUUGGCCAAUGUA